CACGUAGGGUGCAAGCGUUGUCCGGAAUUAUUGGGCGUAAAGAGCUCGUAGGCGGUGUGUCACGUCGGCCGUGAAAACCUGCAGCUUAACUGUGGGCGUGCGGUCGAUACGGGCAUCACUGGAGUUCGGCAGGGGAGACUGGAAUUCCUGGUGUAGCGGUGAAAUGCGCAGAUAUCAGGAGGAACACCGGUGGCGAAGGCGGGUCUCUGGGCCGAUACUGACGCUGAGGAGCGAAAGCGUGGGGAGCAAACAGG
rnacentral:rRNA from 1 species